AAGGUUAAGCCUCACGGUUCAUUAGUACCGGUUAGCUCAACGCAUCGCUGCGCUUACACACCCGGCCUAUCAACGUCGUCGUCUUCAACGUUCCUUCAGGACUCUCAAGGAGUCAGGGAGAACUCAUCUCGGGGCAAGUUUCGUGCUUAGAUGCUUUCAGCACUUAUCUCUUCCGCAUUUAGCUACCGGGCAGUGCCAUUGGCAUGACAACCCGAACACCAGUGAUGCGUCCACUCCGGUCCUCUCGUACUAGGAGCAGCCCCCCUCAGUUCUCCAGCGCCCACGGCAGAUAGGGACCGAACUGUCUCACGACGUUCUAAACCCAGCUCGCGUACCACUUUAAAUGGCGAACAGCCAUACCCUUGGGACCUACUUCAGCCCCAGGAUGUGAUGAGCCGACAUCGAGGUGCCAAACACCGCCGUCGAUAUGAACUCUUGGGCGGUAUCAGCCUGUUAUCCCCGGAGUACCUUUUAUCCGUUGAGCGAUAGCCCUUCCAUUCAGAACCACCGGAUCACUAUGACCUGCUUUCGCACCUGCUCGCGCCGUCACGCUCGCAGUCAAGCUGGCUUAUGCCAUUGCACUAACCUCCUGAUGUCCGACCAGGAUUAGCCAACCUUCGUGCUCCUCCGUUACUCUUUAGGAGGAGACCGCCCCAGUCAAACUACCCACCAGACACUGUCCGCAACCCGGAUCACGGGUCCACGUUAGAACAUCAAACAUUAAAGGGUGGUAUUUCAAGGUCGGCUCCAUGCAGACUGGCGUCCACACUUCAAAGCCUCCCACCUAUCCUACACAUCAAGGCUCAAUGUUCAGUGUCAAGCUAUAGUAAAGGUUCACGGGGUCUUUCCGUCUUGCCGCGGGUACACUGCAUCUUCACAGCGAGUUCAAUUUCACUGAGUCUCGGGUGGAGACAGCCUGGCCAUCAUUACGCCAUUCGUGCAGGUCGGAACUUACCCGACAAGGAAUUUCGCUACCUUAGGACCGUUAUAGUUACGGCCGCCGUUUACCGGGGCUUCGAUCAAGAGCUUCGCUUGCGCUGACCCCAUCAAUUAACCUUCCGGCACCGGGCAGGCGUCACACCGUAUACGUCCACUUUCGUGUUUGCACAGUGCUGUGUUUUUAAUAAACAGUUGCAGCCAGCUGGUAUCUUCGACUGAUUUCAGCUCCAUCCGCGAGGGACUUCACCUACAUAUCAGCGUGCCUUCUCCCGAAGUUACGGCACCAUUUUGCCUAGUUCCUUCACCCGAGUUCUCUCAAGCGCCUUGGUAUUCUCUACCUGACCACCUGUGUCGGUUUGGGGUACGAUUUGAUGUUACCUGAUGCUUAGAGGCUUUUCCUGGAAGCAGGGCAUUUGUUGCUUCAGCACCGUAGUGCCUCGUCAUCACGCCUCAGCCUUGAUUUUCCGGAUUUGCCUGGAAAACCAGCCUACACGCUUAAACCGGGACAACCGUCGCCCGGCCAACAUAGCCUUCUCCGUCCCCCCUUCGCAGUAACACCAAGUACAGGAAUAUUAACCUGUUUCCCAUCGACUACGCCUUUCGGCCUCGCCUUAGGGGUCGACUCACCCUGCCCCGAUUAACGUUGGACAGGAACCCUUGGUCUUCCGGCGAGCGGGCUUUUCACCCGCUUUAUCGUUACUUAUGUCAGCAUUCGCACUUCUGAUACCUCCAGCAUGCCUCACAGCACACCUUCGCAGGCUUACAGAACGCUCCCCUACCCAACAACACAUAGUGUCGCUGCCGCAGCUUCGGUGCAUGGUUUAGCCCCGUUACAUCUUCCGCGCAGGCCGACUCGACCAGUGAGCUAUUACGCUUUCUUUAAAUGAUGGCUGCUUCUAAGCCAACAUCCUGGCUGUCUGGGCCUUCCCACAUCGUUUCCCACUUAACCAUGACUUUGGGACCUUAGCUGGCGGUCUGGGUUGUUUCCCUCUUCACGACGGACGUUAGCACCCGCCGUGUGUCUCCCGUGAUAACAUUCUCCGGUAUUCGCAGUUUGCAUCGGGUUGGUAAGUCGGGAUGACCCCCUUGCCGAAACAGUGCUCUACCCCCGGAGAUGAAUUCACGAGGCGCUACCUAAAUAGCUUUCGGGGAGAACCAGCUAUCUCCCGGUUUGAUUGGCCUUUCACCCCCAGCCACAAGUCAUCCGCUAAUUUUUCAACAUUAGUCGGUUCGGUCCUCCAGUUAGUGUUACCCAACCUUCAACCUGCCCAUGGCUAGAUCACCGGGUUUCGGGUCUAUACCCUGCAACUUAACGCCCAGUUAAGACUCGGUUUCCCUUCGGCUCCCCUAUUCGGUUAACCUUGCUACAGAAUAUAAGUCGCUGACCCAUUAUACAAAAGGUACGCAGUCACACGCCUAAGCGUGCUCCCACUGCUUGUACGUACACGGUUUCAGGUUCUUUUUCACUCCCCUCGCCGGGGUUCUUUUCGCCUUUCCCUCACGGUACUGGUUCACUAUCGGUCAGUCAGGAGUAUUUAGCCUUGGAGGAUGGUCCCCCCAUAUUCAGACAGGAUACCACGUGUCCCGCCCUACUCAUCGAGCUCACAAUAUGUGCAUUUUUGUGUACGGGGCUGUCACCCUGUAUCGCGCGCCUUUCCAGACGCUUCCACUAACACACACACUGAUUCAGGCUCUGGGCUCCUCCCCGUUCGCUCGCCGCUACUGGGGGAAUCUCGGUUGAUUUCUUUUCCUCGGGGUACUUAGAUGUUUCAGUUCCCCCGGUUCGCCUCAUUAACCUAUGGAUUCAGUUAAUGAUAGUGUGUCGAAACACACUGGGUUUCCCCAUUCGGAAAUCGCCGGUUAUAACGGUUCAUAUCACCUUACCGACGCUUAUCGCAGAUUAGCACGUCCUUCAUCGCCUCUGACUGCCAGGGCAUCCACCGUGUACGCUUAGUCGCUUAA
rnacentral:rRNA from 1 species